rnacentral:rRNA from 1 species
UACGUAGGGUGCAAGCGUUAUCCGGAAUUAUUGGGCGUAAAGAGCUCGUAGGCGGUCUGUCGCGUCGAUCGUGAAAACUUGGGGCUUAACCCUGAGCUUGCGGUCGAUACGGGCAUGACUGGAGUUCGGCAGGGGAGACUGGAAUUCCUGGUGUAGCGGUGAAAUGCGCAGAUAUCAGGAGGAACACCGGUGGCGAAGGCGGGUCUCUGGGCCGAUACUGACGCUGAGGAGCGAAAGCGUGGGGAGCGAACAGG